UUUUCAAAUAAGCUAUCCACUCUAAAUGCUUGGUGACUGUAGGAAAUUAAUUGCAUGGCCUUUUCAGUGAUGCCCUAGCAAAAGCAGAUGAUAGAACUACAGCCCAGACCACAGAUGAGCUAAAUCAAUUUAAGCCCUACAGGAAUUAUUAAAAAAAAUCAAGUUAUUUGUAUAAGUACACUCCUUAGUUAUGACCUGAAAGCAUUUUCCACCCAAAAUAGCGAGGCAGCAUGGCAUGUGAGAAAAUCACAAGGUUGCAUUAUGGGCCGAGUGUAUUUUUUUACAUUACAGAAAUAUUUCAAGCUUUUCAUAAGCUGGGCUUAAGCCUUUUUGAAGUCAUUCCUCAUCCACACAACAAUCACCAUUGUAUAAAGUUCUGAUGUAAGUACAGACACUCGUAUAAAGUACUUGUACUUAUUUGCUAACAAAAAUCUAAUGGAAAUGGCACAUCUCUGCUUCCCCUUCUCAGUCAGCUCAAGUACCUGUUCAGUCAGAACCAACUGUUCUGUUCUCCUUCCACACAAAUCAGCCCUGACAGUGCAGAACCUGCUGCAGUGCCACACAGCACCAGCUCUCGGACCUCAGGCAAUGAUCCAGCGUGCAGGGAAAAUUGCAGUGACCCUUCUUUUGGCAUAAGCCUCAAACGUUGGCUUAUUGGUCAGGCUGCCUUUGCUACAGUUCUUUUUCUGCACUGUUGGCUGCAGAAGCUGCAGCCAAGCAGCUUUCAAACAGGGACUGUCCUUUAGUUCUGCUGGACAAUUUGGAAGGAAAAAUACUGGAAGUAAACUGUGGACAUUUUGUAAUAUCAUCACAGAGAAUGGAAGGGCAGCAAUACCUAUUGCUAUACCUACCCCAGGAGUUCCUUAAACAAGAGAAGCCAUUGGUGUGAAUGAGCUGCCACCUGCCUUCUUUGCUAAUGGUCUGUCAUUUCCAACACAGCCUAGUGAAUAGCAACAAUAAAUCCACUAGGAAUUAUUCUGAAGAUGGACACCUCUGGUUUAAAAAAAAAAAUUCUUUGCCACAUCAUUCACAGGGGGAAAUGAAUUACCUCGUAUCAGCAUUAAAUUAUAGACUGUGGUAGUAUUGUAACUCCUGCUGGAAAAUCUGCAUUGUGCAGUUCAGUUGCUAAUCAGAUCUUCAGUUUAAUAAAAUUGUUUCCAUUUAAGUUUAAUCACAUUUGCCAUUUGCUGCUGCCAGAGUUUCUAAUUGCUGUUAGUAAGGGCUUUCAGGACACUGGGGAACUGCACAUUCAGUUCUUGAUCUGAUCCUACUUUGUGCUCCAUCAUACAAUGGACUGCUUAAAUAAUUAUUUUUAAAUCAUUCUGUGACUAUCCAGCUGGAGUUCUAUCUCACAGGCUACAGGGAGAUUGGAUGCCCUUUGAGUACUGAUGCAAGACCAAGAACUCUAUUUAGUAACAAAAAUGUUUGUGGGAAGUGAAUUUCAAAGCAGUUGCAGCACGGUGACAAUCUGUGUGCCAUCAUUUAAAUCGCUCGAGUACCAACACAAGAUGCUCAAUUAAGCACUGGUGCCUAAAUGUAGAGGUUGUGAUUAAAAAAUUGGAGAAAUAGCCUGGAGCUAUUUCAAGAUUGUAGAAAACUUGAACAUAUACAAAUUUAUAAAAGUAAAUAAAUAAACAUCAGUUCUGUGCAAAA